rnacentral:rRNA from 1 species
GACGAACGCUGGCGGCGUGCUUAACACAUGCAAGUCGAACGGAAAGGCCCUGCUUUUGUGGGGUGCUCGAGUGGCGAACGGGUGAGUAACACGUGAGUAACCUGCCCUUGACUUUGGGAUAACUUCAGGAAACUGGGGCUAAUACCGGAUAGGAGCUCCUGCUGCAUGGUGGGGGUUGGAAAGUUUCGGCGGUUGGGGAUGGACUCGCGGCUUAUCAGCUUGUUGGUGGGGUAGUGGCUUACCAAGGCUUUGACGGGUAGCCGGCCUGAGAGGGUGACCGGCCACAAUGGGACUGAGAGACGGCCCAGACUCGUACGGGAGGCAGAAGUGGGGAAUAUUGCACAAUGGGCGGAAGCCUGAUGCAGCAACGCCGCGUGCGGGAUGACGGCCUUCGGGGUGUAAACCGCUUUCGCCUGUGACGAAGCGUGAGUGACGGUAAUGGGUAAAGAAGCACCGGCUAACUACGUG